UCAGAGUUGCUGCGCUCAAGUGGCACUGACAUAAAAGCUCGCUGAGUAACUAAAGUUAAGUACUCUUCAUCAGUGAAGAACAUCAAGUUUUGAACAGUGUCGGAGGAGCAAACGAGGCGCUACCUGAAAUGGCAAGAAGUGUGUUUAUUUCGGUCCAGAAGCACAUCGAAAAGAAGAAAGGAGUUUAUUCUAGCCGAAUUUAUAAAGCUGUGAAGCAAGGUUCUGGCAUCACCGGCAUUCUGGCGAAAACUACAAGCCAUUCGGGCAAUGACUACCUGCGCCUUGUAGCCUCUGAAGCCGCCCGUUUGGCCUUGGGGAACAAACGAAGAGCCAUUACGUGUCGGGAAAUACAGCGCGCUGCUCGAACCCUGGCACUUAAGGACGCCAAGUUGGAUUCUGCAAUUUAAAUUUUAAAUUUUGUGUGUGUGGUUUGUGUCCAUAUUUAAAUAAAGCUUUUUAUUUACUUA